rnacentral:misc_RNA from 1 species
GUAGGUGAACCUGCGGAAGGAUCAUUACAGAGUUCAUGCCCUUACGGGUAGAUCUCCCACCCUUUGAGUACUAUACUUUUGUUGCUUUGGCAGGCCGCUUCGGCUACCGGCUUCGGCUGGUGAGUGCCUGCCAGAGGACCCCAAAUUCUGAAUUAUAGUGUCGUCUGAGAACUAUAUAAUAGUUAAAACUUUCAACAACGGAUCUCUUGGUUCUG